CAUUUGGUGCAACAUGUACUGUGGUGGUCAGCAUGUACUGUGCUGUUGGUCCUAGGUGUCCUGGGUGGUCCUAGGGUGUCCUGCACUAGGUGUCCCAUUUGGUGCAGCAUGUACUGUGCUAUUGGUCCUAGGUGUCCUGAGUGGUCCUAGGGUGUCCUGCACUAGGUGUUCUAGGUGUCCCAAUUGGUUCAACGUGUACUGUACUAUUGUUCCAAGGGUGUCCUUUAUGAUUGGUCUGAGGGUGUCCGGUACUAUUGGUCCCAACAUUCUUGUACUAUUGGUCCUCGGGUGCCUCAAACCAAUGACCCAAGGAAUUCUGUACUAUUUGUCCUAAAGUGCCCUGAACUAUUCGUCCGAAGGUAUCUGAUACUACUGAUCCAAGGGUGCCCUGUACUAAUGGUCCUAAGGUGUGCUGAGGUGUCCUAUACCAUUGGCACUUGGUGUCCUGUACUAUGUGGUCCUCUGAUUCCUGUUACUGUUACUGGUCCUGUCCUAUUGGUCCUAGGCAUCAUUUCCUGUUGGUCCUUGGAUUUCUGUACUAUUGGUCCUAGGAUGUCCUGUCCUAUUGGUCCUAGGUAUCCUUUCCUGUUGGUCCUAGGAUUUCUGUACUAUUGGUCCUAGUAUGUCCAGUCCUAUUGGCCCUAGGUAUCCUUUCCUGUUGGUCCUAGGAUGUCCUGUCCUAGGUAUCCAUUCCUGUUGGUCCUAGGAUUUCUGUAUUAUUGGUCCUUGGGUGUGUAUAAUCAGUUUGCAGGGACAUGAACUUACACCAAAUAAUGAGAGGUGAUAAUAAGGACACAUCAAGUAUGUCAACUGUAUUUCCUUAUAUUUGGUAGUUUACUUAUAUUAAAUGGUGCAUUGCUUUACCGCUUCAAUAAUGAUAUAUUUUGAUGUUACUUAUUUACACCAUUACCAGGAUUCAUAUAUUUUUAUCAUAUAAUCAGUACAAAAAACCAAUAUCAUAUUUUUACAUAUCAUAUAUAUUCCGUAUCAGUUUAGUUUUAAGCUUUGUUCUUGGUGCUGUGCAGGUUCGGCAGUGGCUAGCAUUGUUUAUACCAGUGAGAAGAUUAGUGGUUAAUGUACAAUGUAUAACAAGUUACAAUUCGUAAUGACAUAUUACAAAGUUAUAUGAAAGAAUUGGCUUUGCAACAUUGAGUAUUCAGCAGAAGUUUUUCAGUUAGCCACAAUCAUUUAAAACACAAACAGUUCAUUCUUCAAACCACUUCUCAGUUGAUAUACUUUAACUGAUGUCAGCCACAGAUUGUUGUUUUUUGUUCCUCAGAAUCUCUUCAGUGCUAUCUAGUAUGACUCUUGCACAUUGUAUUUACAUUGGACAUUUCAGUUAACUCAGCAGGGUCGAAUGAUCAUUCUUUGGGAAGCAUGAUACAGGUAUUCCCUGACAUGACAUGUAUGACAAUAUAUCUUUAUUCAAGAUAUCAUAUGUAUUGUGAUACUUAAUUUGCAGCAAUGUUUUUUCAAUUUUUAUCUUUCAUAGGACAUAAAAAACUAUUAAAAAGGUUUAAAAUUUACUGAAUAUAUCUAUGUUCAUGUUUUAAUAUGAAAAUGUCUCACACAGUACUGAUGUGUCAAUUUGAAUCAUUCAUGUCAUUAACAAACAAAUUACUUUAGAUUUGACCUUGAAAUGAUUAAAUUGAUUUGUUUGAGUGGCAUUCUAGAACUUGGUGGUAUAGAGAUGGCAAGAAUUUAUGGAUGAUCAACUUCUCUAUUUUGACAAUGGCACCGUUUCGGUAUAGAUUCUUAUAUCCUAUGCUUGAAAACGGUAUAAGAAUCUAUACCAAAACGUUGCCAUUGUCAAAAUAAAGAAGUUGAUCAUCCAUAAAGCCUUGUCAUCUCUGAAUAAAUAUGAAUCAACUGGUCUUAUGUGAAAUGCUACAGGAUUAAAGUAUGAAUACAUUUAAGUCUGUAUGGCGUGUCAGAUUGUCUGAGCAUCUUAAGGAUGGAUCAUUGUAGUGGUGACUCAUGACACAGGGGUGGAAAUAACUUUAAAAUUGCUAGUGUACUCCGGUACAGUGGCACAUGUAAAAUCACUUGCCCUGAUAAUUUCUCCACUAUACCGGCCGAUUUUCUUGUUGAUGUUUAAAUGAACAACAUAAUUGACAUUGGAAAGUCAACUGGACACCGGUACAGAGGGACAUACAAAUUUGCUUGCCCAACAGAAAAAAAACACUAGACUGGGGCAUUGGGCAAUGGGUUAUUUCCACCCCUGUGACAUCCAUACUCAUUCUACAAUAAUUUGUGAGUUGAAAAAUAUAUAAUAAUGAUAAGGCCUCUUAUUCUGUGUUGAAUUCUAUGCUGCAUGGGCAUACUCUAGGCACUUCCAACACAAUGGACAUUACUGGCCCUGUUAACCCAAAGCUGUGACAAGAUUAAUAGUCAAAUGACAUCCCACCGGGUACCCAUUUUCUACUGGUUGAACUGGGGCUAUUUUCUCAUUACAUUUCUAAAAUCAUGUCCCUCUUCAUGAUCUGAAAGUUGACUUUUCUGAGGGGUGAUAUUAUUUUCCUGAGUACUUUAACUUACGUUUGUCUCUUGCUUGAGACAAUGUGACAGCUGGAUGAUCUAGUCAGUGAUGGAGCAACAUCAAGAUGUUUACUGUUAUGAGUUGUAUGUAUAUUCUUGUGUUGUUAUUAUUGCAUAUAUUUUAUAUCAUGUUAAAUAUAUAUCCAGGAUCAGUUAGAUCUGCAAUACUCCUUUCAACUUAUGUAGGUAGAGAUGGACCAAACAAUAGUCGUGGGGUGGGGAGUUUGGGCAUCAGCAUGUGUUUCGGUCGUAAAUAAUUUUGUUUUGAGAUGGACACAAACUUCUUCUUUUUUCACAGAAUAUUUUUUCCAUGUUAUGGAAUAUUUUUUCAAAAUAAGUAACUUCAGGCUGAAUUAUUUUUCCCCAAAAUAUUCUGAUGUAAAGAAUAUGAAAUUAAAUCACCCCAACCAUUGCAGCCCUUUUUCCCAAAUUUUGAAUGGUCGGCACUUUAAGCUCCCAGCUUUGUGUGCUGUUGCUUCGCUCAAAAUACGCAGUAUCAAUGUGAUUAUAAAGACAUAUGAGAUGCCAGUAACGUGUAUUAAUUAAAUAUUUAAUUAUAUUUUAUUUAAUGUACCAGAAAUGUUUACAAUUAAUUUAACAAAAACAGUUUGUACCCACCAUUAUCGGUACUGUUUUGUAUGUCAUGGUAAUUUAAUUUUAUCGUUUGUAGAUUUUUGUCAAGAAGAUUGUGGAUUUGUAUCUGUGUUGGUUUAACAGAUGGUCACGUGACUAUUAGGUAAGACGAUGGUCUGUUUUUUCGUCACAUGACCCAUUCUACAUAUUGUGUUUUGACAUACUUUUUAAUAUGUUUUGACUUCAUAUUUUAUCCUGUUUUCAAUUUCUCUAGAAGACAAACAAAUAUUAUUUCACAGACUAAAGAUUGUGUUUUGAUGCAGUAAUAUUAAGUUUAAGGACUUGAUAAAGUGACAUUGAUGAUUUGCUCACAUCCGCAGGGGUGGCGGGGUAGCCUAGUGGUUAAGGCAUCCGACCGACAGGCUGAAGACCCGGGUUCGAUUCCCCACAUGGGCACAAUGUGUGAAGCCCAUUUCUGGUGUUCCCCUGCCGUGAUAUUCCUGGAAUAUUGCUAAAAGCAGCGUAAAACUAAACUCACUCACUCACAUCCCCAUAAAACCAAUUUUAUAUUCUUGAAUUUAAGGAUGAAGCUACCACGAGUUAUGCAAAAGUAAAAGAUAAAAAAACACAC
rnacentral:lncRNA from 1 species